GGGAGUCAGACUGCACGAGAUAAGUUGGGCAGUCAAAAGGGAAAGAGCCCAGACCACCGGCUAAGGUCCCAAAGUGCGUGUUAAGUGGAAAAGGAUGUGGGAAUUCGAAGACAACUAGGAUGUUGGCUCAGAAGCAGCCAUACAUUCAAAGAGUGCGUAACAGCUCACUAGUCGAGAGUUCCUGCGCCGAAAAUGUCCGGGGCUGAAACACGACACCGAAGCCGUGGACUCGCAAUGCGAGUGGUAGAGGAGCAUUCUUAAGACCGACGAAGCUGUACCGGAAGGAGCAGUGGAGGGAUAAGAAGAGAGAAUGCCGGAAUGAGUAGCGAGAGAAAGGUGGGAAUCCUUUCGGCCGAAUAUCUAAGGUUUCCAGAGUAAAGCUGAUCUGCUCUGGGUAAGUCGGGGCCUAAGCACAGGUCGCAAGACGUAAGCGAUGGAUAACAGGUUUAGAUUCCUGUACCACGCAUUAUCAGAACUGUAGGGACGCAUGUGGAAAGCACGGGCCGGGAAUGGAAAGACCGGUACAAGCGGGGUAGGUGUACAAUAGGCAAAUCCGUUGUAUGAUCCGAAGACGUGAUGUGGAGCGAAAUAAAGUAGUGAAGCGUGUGAGCCAUGUGCCGAGAAAAGCUGCUAUUGUGUAAUGCGUGCCCGUACCGUAAACCGACACAGGUGGAUGAGGAGAGAAUCCUAAGGCCGACGGAAGAAGCAUUGUUAAGGAAUUCGGCAAAAUGACCCCGUAACUUCGGGAGAAGGGGUGCCUGCGAGAGCAGGCCGCAGAGAAUAGGCUCAAGCAACUGUUUAGCAAAAACACAGGUCUAUGCGAAACCGAAAGGUGAGGUAUAUGGGCUGACGCCUGCCCGGUGCUGGAAGGUUAAGAGGAGAGGUUAGCGCAAGCGAAGCUUUGAAUUUAAGCCCCAGUAAACGGCGGCCGUAACUAUAACGGUCCUAAGGUAGCGAAAUUCCUUGUCGGGUAAGUUCCGACCCGCACGAAAGGCGUAAUGAUUUGAGCACUGUCUCGACAAUGCAUCCGGUGAAAUUGAAGUACCAGUGAAGAUGCUGGUUACCCGCGCCAGGACGGAAAGACCCCAUGGAGCUUUACUCCAGUUUGAUACUGGGAUUCGGUACUGCAUGUACAGGAUAGGUGGGAGACGGAGAAGGAUGGACGCCAGUCUGUCCGGAGUCGCUGUUGGGAUACCACCCCUGUAGUACUGGGUUUCUAACCAGUUACCAUGAUCUGGUAAUGGGACAAUGUCAGGCGGGGAGUUUGACUGGGGCGGUCGCCUCCGAAAGGGUAUCGGAGGCGCUCAAAGGUUCCCUCAGAAUGGUUGGAAACCAUUUGAAGAGUGCAAAGGCAGAAGGGAGCUUGACUGCGACACCGACGGGUGGAGCAGGUACGAAAGUAGGACUUAGUGAUCCGGUGGUAUAAAGUGGGAUUGCCAUCGCUCAACGGAUAAAAGCUACCCUGGGGAUAACAGGCUUAUCACUCCCAAGAGUUCACAUCGACGGAGUGGUUUGGCACCUCGAUGUCGGCUCAUCGCAUCCUGGGGCUGUAGUAGGUCCCAAGGGUUGGGCUGUUCGCCCAUUAAAGCGGUACGCGAGCUGGGUUCAGAACGUCGUGAGACAGUUCGGUCCCUAUCCGGCGCGGGCGGAGGAUAUUUGAGAGGAGCUGUCCUUAGUACGAGAGGACCGGGAUGGACGGACCACUGGUGUAUCUGUUGUCGACCAACGGCAUGGCAGAGUAGCCAAGUCUGGAAGGGAUAAACGCUGAAGGCAUCUAAGCGUGAAGCCCCCCUCAAGAUGAGAUAUCCCUCCUUCGGGAGUAAGACCCCUUGAAGACUACAAGGUAGAUAGGGCAGAGGUGGAAGCAUGGCAACAUGUGGAGCUGACUGUUACUAAUAGGUCGAGGGCUUAAUCU
rnacentral:rRNA from 1 species